GACGAACGCUGGCGGCGUGCUUAACACAUGCAAGUCGAACGGAAAGGCCCUGCUUUUGUGGGGUGCUCGAGUGGCGAACGGGUGAGUAACACGCGAGUAACCUGCCCUUGACUUUGGGAUAACUUCAGGAAACUGGGGCUAAUACCGGAUAGGAGCUCCUGCUGCAUGGUGGGGGUUGGAAAGUUUCGGCGGUGGGGGAUGGACUCGCGGCUUAUCAGCUUGUUGGUGGGGUAGUGGCUUACCAAGGCUUGGACGGGGAGCCGGCCUGAGGGUGACCGGCCACAUUGGGCCUGAGAUACGGCCCAGACUCCUACGGGAGGCAGCAGUGGGGAAUAUUGCACAAUGGGCGGAAGCCUGAUGCAGCAACGCCGCGUGCGGGAUGACGGCCUUCGGGUUGUAAACCGCUUUCGCCUGUGACGAAGCGUGAGUGACGGUAAUGGGUAAAGAAGCACCGGCUAACUACGUG
rnacentral:rRNA from 1 species